AGGAGAGGUCUGAAUUUCUCCUUCUACUGAAGAAUGAGGAGCACCCUCCCCACACACUCCACCCCCCAUGCCCCCAUAGGGUUCUACCACCUUCCAUACCAGUACCAGAAGAGGCAGGUGAUGGGUUGGCCACAUCCAAGACAACAAUGGCUUAAUUAUUAUGUGUGACUCAAGGAGAAGAAGGUCCAGCAGCUGGGAGGCCAGACGUCAGAGAGGCUGGAGUCGGUGGUCCUGGGCCUCCCUAAGACAGAGAGCAUCUCUGCAGCCACCCAGUGGGGGAAGGAGUAUGUGAGGGCGGAGGUCUUUGCCCAGAGCUCCUGCACAUGCUGGUACAAUGGAGCAUAUGGGAGUUGGAGUCUGGAUACCUGCAAAACAUUCCAGCUCCACUCUGUGUGACCUCAGAUGAGGAACCCCAGCAGUCAGGCUCUGGAGACCUGUGCUACACUGUCAUGGAAUGCUGUAGAAUGUUGUGGGAUGCUGCCCAUGUCCCCCUUCAGACAGGACUGUGACUGCCAAGCAAGUGACCUACAUAGGCUGGAACCCAGCAACAACCAACGGUUCCAUCCAGAUCCAGGAGGUCAAACCUCAGAAGAGGAGCUCAUAGACUGAAAUCUGGUCAUUCAAGGCAAGGAGGGGAAGGAAGUACGCUCCAGGAAAUCUCCCUGAGCUGGAAGAAUGCAGCUGUUAGCUCCAUACCACUUAGGAAUAAAGGAUAAUAGCUACAAAAUGAAUGCAUUGACCUUAGAUGAGCAAAGCUGGCCCCAGUGAGCUAAAGACUAGUAAGAUUAGCCGGCUCUCUGGGAUAAGGGAGACUGUCAGGUUUGCAAGACAAGUUAAUGCUAUGUGGGUUAGAACUCAUGAGUCAGCUGGCUGAGCUGGAUCACUGGCCACCGCAAGUGCAGUCGAGAGUAAAGAACUUGCAUAGAAUUGGUUUGGAAAAGGCAAGCAGGGAGAGUAUGUGGCUAGAAGUCUCACUGUGCAGUUACGUACGGACAUGGUCAGUGCUAGAAGAGUUCUGGGCUGAGCUCUGCAAGAGGGGCUUUUCCUUGAGCCAGCAGAGAGUCCAUGAACAGAAAGAGAGCCAUGUGAUGGCAGAAGCAUGCUGAGGUUGGUGCUUCUGGGGAGUGUUGGUCAGAAACCCGACGCCAGGGUGCAGCCGGGUAGAUGAGGCAAAGGACAGCAGUGGCAGCCCAUGGGCAAGGGACGUUGGAGACAUGCUGGACCAGGACUUUCAGACCGGCUGCUGCCUGACCCCGAACACACUCUGUUCAUGGAUGGGAGCUCCCUCAUAGCGCCAGAUGAACGGCGACACGCGGCCUAGGCAGUGAUCACCCUGGAUGCUGUCAUAAAAGUGGUCCUCCUUCCCACUGGGACUACUUCUCAAAAGGCAAAACUCGUGGCUUUCACCAGGGCCCUUCACUUAUCUGAGGGCCAACGGGUCACUAUUUAUACUGACUCCAAAUAUGCUUUUCUUAUUACCCACACUCACUCUGUCCCCUGGUGAGAAAGGGGAUUUCUCAUGCCCAAGGGAACCCCUAUAGUCAAUGGGCCUCUCACUGCCAAACUCCUCAAGGCUCUCAAUUACCUUAACGAGGUGGCUAUUGUCCACUGCCAUGGCCAUCGGGCCUCCAAGGACCUCAUCUCUUUGGGGAACAACAAGGCAACUCUAAUGCCCUCCCGAACAGCCUAACCCAAACCCUCAUUACUGACAUUCACCAGUCCCUCCACAUUGGUCUAAAGGCCCUAUACCAAUUUCUCCAACCUCUCUUUCACCACCCCCGUCUCCAAAAAAAAACCAUUAAGGAGGUACACCAAGCCUGCAAAAUCUGUUCUGCGGUCAAGGCCCAGGGCAACCUCUGCAGAUGGGGACCCACCCACCAGCUCCUCGAGCAUCAGCCAGGCAAGGACUGGCAACUUGACUUCACUCACAUGCCUCCACACAAAACCUUCAGAUAUCUGCUAACUCUCAUGGACACCUUCAUGGAUCAAAGGUGGAUCAAAGCAUUUCCCACCGCUAGGGAAACAGCAGACAUGGUCGCCAUGGUUCCCACUGGGCACAUCAUCCCGAGAUUUGGACGCCCUCAAACUCUACAAUCGGACAACAGACCAGCCUUCAUCUCCAGCAUCACACAACAGACCUCCGAGAGCCUCAACAUCACCUGGAAACUCCAUAUCCCCUAUCACCCCCAUCCUCGGGAUCGCAUCCAUGAGGUUUCCAGGGCCACUGUCAACCAACUCCUGCAUCCCUAUACCUGCCUACCCACAUCCGAAGGACCCUAUAACGAUGCCCCUUCACCAGCAGGAAGUAACCACAUCUGAAUCGCUGCCCCUAUUACACCAGAAAGGUCGGAAUGUUGGGUCAGCGGCUCCGGGAACGCAGGAGAAACAAUAGAAAUGACCGCCGGGCUGCAAUCUUCCAGGCCCCCCCCUUCCUAACCUUUGACUCUCCCGCCAUAAGGAUGUAUGCUCAGGUCACAUCUCCACAAGUAACCCGAUACCUAUGCAAGAAACCAGAACAUCAGGACUCCCCCAACCCUCCAAUCCCCAAAUACCAUACCUUAUAUGGCUGUGAACCUAUUCCCUGUCUUAACCCAGAUAAAAGACCCACUUGACCUCCUCCUGGUGCGACUUCCCCCGACUCUCCUCUCCGGAAUCAUAGAACCUCGCCCAAGGGUGCCCACCUCCUCCCAGCGCUACUUUCCUGGCUCCCCUUCUCCUGAGCCCUGAAACUCGGCUGGAGAGCGCCUUUAAUAAAUCUUGCC